UGACCAUGCUGGUCAUUUAUGAACAUUUGAACAUCUUGGCCAUGUUCUGUUAUAAUCUCCACCCGGCACAGCCAGAAGAGGACUGGCCACCCCACAUAGCCUGGUUCCUCUCUAGGUUUCUUCCUAGGUUUUGGCCAUUCUAGGGAGUUUUUCCUAGCCACCGUGCUUCUACACCUGCAUUGCUUGCUGUUUGGGGUUUUAGGCUGGGUUUCUGUACAGCACUUUGAGAUAUCAGCUGAUGUACGAAGGGC
ensembl:lncRNA